GUGAGGAAUAUUGGUCAAUGGACGCAAGUCUGAACCAGCUAUGCCGCGUGCAGGAAGAAGGUUCUAUGGAUCGUAAACUGCUUUUGUACAGGAAGAAAUUAUCCCUCGUGAGGGAGCUUGACGGUACUGUAAGAAUAAGGAUCGGCUAACUCCGUGCCAGCAGCCGCGGUAAUACGGAGGAUCCAAGCGUUAUCCGGAAUCAUUGGGUUUAAAGGGUUCGUAGGCGGUUUUGUAAGUCAGUGGUGAAAGUUUGCAGCUUAACUGUAAAAUUGCCAUUGAUAAUGCAAGACUUGAAUGUUUGUGAAGUAGCGAGAAUAUGUAGUGUAGCGGUGAAAUGCUUAGAUAUUACAUGGAAUACCGAUUGCGAAGGCAGGUUACUAACAAAGUAUUGACGCUGAUGGACGAAAGCGUGGGGAGCGAACAGGAUUAGAAACCCUUGUAGUCC
rnacentral:rRNA from 1 species